CUCGUUACUUCUUACGAAACUGCUCUUGUAAUCGCUUCGAAGUAUCAGGCGAACAGAAACGUCAGAAACUAUAUAUGAAAGUGUAAUGUUACUCGUGCACAAUGUAUGGUGUGACUAUAACGAAUUCAAAUAACCUCAAUAUGCUUAUAACUUGUAAGGAAACAAGAAAGAUAAAAUUAAAUGAAAUAUAUUAUUGGCGAAUUAUGUAAAGGCAUACCAUUUGUUGCGUUUAACUGUCUUCCCAGAAAUAUACAUUAAACAGAAAAACAGAGAUGAUGAAUAGAAGAUUGAUGUUAUGGAUUCUUUCACUGUUGCAAGUAUACAUACUUUGGAGAAUAAUAAUUGUUCGGGAUGGUAACAGGAUUGUCCCUGUACUUCAGAGAUAAAGAGACAAGUUCUGAUACAUAUAUUAAUAGAAGUAUGCAUUUAUGCUGAUUUCGGUAACUAUAAUUUUGUGUGAUUCCAAGAAUCCAGAGUGACGACAUACCCAGAUUUUUCCUGUCUGCAAGACUACCCCGUUAUGUCCAGUAUGUUCUGAGUUCAGUACCUUACAGUGAAUCACCUCCAGCGCAGAUUUUAGGAAUACCUCUAACUGGGUCUUUUACAGUUUAACACGGACUCCUUGCACACCUUGAUUGCUUACACAAACACCUCCUGAUGAAAUUGAUUUGAAACAAUCAGUGGACAUCUUGAAUGAGUAAUAUCUGAGCAUGAAUAUUAUAAUAAUGUAGCAAGUUGCUUUUGUACCUUUGAGAAGAAGUGAGUGGACAGUCUAAAGGUAUAAAGACUAGAGAUUUAAUUAUAUGUGAUGCUCUUUAUAUUGACUUAUGAUCAGUUCAAGUCAAGUAUUUCUAGUAAAUGAUCUUCGUAGAAUUUUUGACGAAAUGUUUAAAACUGUUUACAACAGGCAUUUUCAUGCAACUAAUGGUGUUCAAUACAAA